UGGGGGAUAUUGCACAAUGGGCGAAAGCCUGAUGCAGCGACGCCGCGUGGGGGAUGAAGGCUUUCGGGUUGUAAACCUCUUUCGCUAUCGAACAAGGCCCGCUUAGGGUGGGUUGAGGGUAGGUGGAGAAGAAGCGCCGGCUAACUACGUGCCAGCAGCCGCGGUAAUACGGAGGGUGCAAGCGUUAAUCGGAAUUACCGGGCGUAAAGCGCACGCAGGCGGUCUGUCAAGUCGGAUGUGAAAUCCCCGGGCUCAACCUGGGAACUGCAUUCGAAACUGGCAGGCUAGAGUCUUGUAGAGGGGGGUAGAAUUCCAGGUGUAGCGGUGAAAUGCGUAGAGAUCUGGAGGAAUACCGGUGGCGAAGGCGGCCCCCUGGACAAAGACUGACGCUCAGGUGCGAAAGCGUGGGGAGCAAACAGG
rnacentral:rRNA from 1 species